AUGUUGAAGAAUAUGUUCCCGAAGAAUAACGAGUUGCCCGCCAGUACGUACGAAGCAAAGAAGGCUGUCUGCCCUCUAGGUUUAGAGGUUCUGAAGAUACAUGCAUGCAUUAACGACUGCAUCCUCUACCGCGGUGAAUACGAGAAUUUGAAUGAAUGCCCUGUAUGCACUGCAUUGCGUUAUAAGAUCAGAGGCGAUGACCCUGGUGACGAUGUUGAGGGCGAGAAACCCAGGAAGAGGGUUCCCGCCAAGGUGAUGUGGUAUGCUCCUAUAAUACCACGGUUGAAACGUCUGUUCAUGAACAAAAAGCAUGCCAAGUCGUUGCGAUGGCACAAAGAGGACCGUAAGUCCGAC
rnacentral:rRNA from 1 species